GCGCCGUUAGCUCAGUUGGUAGAGCAACAGCCUUUUAAGCUGAUGGUCGCAGGUUCGAAUCCUGCACGGCGCA
rnacentral:tRNA from 1 species